UACGAAGGGGGCUAGCGUUGUUCGGAAUUACUGGGCGUAAAGCGUACGUAGGCGGAUUGUUAAGUGAGGGGUGAAAUUCCGAGGCUCAACCUCGGAACUGCCUUUCAUACUGGCAAUCUUGAGUCCGGGAGAGGUGAGUGGAACUCCUAGUGUAGAGGUGAAAUUCGUAGAUAUUAGGAAGAACACCAGUGGCGAAGGCGGCUCACUGGCCCGGAACUGACGCUGAGGUACGAAAGCGUGGGGAGCAAACAGG
rnacentral:rRNA from 1 species